rnacentral:rRNA from 1 species
GUAAACCCAGUUUAGCACACCAGACUAGCUUACCGCCAGAGAACUACAAGUAAAAAACUUAAAACUCAAAGGACUUGACGGUAUCCCACAUCACCCUAGAGGAGCCUGUCCUGUAAUCGAUAACCCACGUUAUACCCAACCUACCCUUGCACCAAACAGCCUAUAUACCGCCGUCUCCAGCCCACCUUGCAAAAGCCCCAUCAGUGAGCAAAAUCAACCAACUCUAAGCACGACAGGUCAAGGUGUAGCCAACGGGUAGGUAGAGAUGGGCUACAUUUUCUAACACCUAGAACACACCAAUAGCAAUAUGAAACCUAUGCCAACAGGCGGAUUUAGCAGUAAGAUCGGACAAGAUCUGCCCAUCUGAAGACUAG